rnacentral:rRNA from 1 species
UACGUAGGGGGCGAGCGUUAUCCGGAUUUACUGGGCGUAAAGCGCGUGUAGGUGGUUGCGCAAGUUGGAUGUGAAAUCUCCCGGCUCAACCGGGAAACUGCAGCCAAUACUGCGUGGCUAGAGUGGCAGAGAGGAAAGUGGAAUUCCCGGUGUAGUAGUGAAAUGCGUAGAUAUCGGGAGGAACACCAGCGGCGAAGGCGACUUUCUGGCUGCCAACUGACACUGAGACGCGAAAGCUAGGGGAGCGAACGGG